AUUUUUAGUAGAGACAGGGGUUUCACCAUGCUGGACAGGCUGGUCUUGAACUCCUGAUCUCGUGAUCCACCCGCCUCGGCUUCCCAAAGUACUGGGAUUACAGGCAUGAGCCAUCGUGCCCAGCCAGGACUUGCCUUCUUUAGAGCUCCUGCUGCCUCAUGAGGCAAGAAGUCUACGGAAAAAGGAUUGGGAAGAGGCGGAGAAAAGAGAGAAAGAGGAUUCAGGGUUCAGAAGCUCCAGCCACCACCCCAGGGUGUAAAGAAUCAGGGUGGGCCGGGUGCAGUGGCUCAUGCCUGCAAUCCCAGCACUUUGGGAGGCCAAGGUGGGAGGAUCACUUGAGUCCAAGAGUUUGAGGCCAGCCUGGGCAGCAUAGUGAGACCCUGUCUGUACAAAAAAAUACAAAAAUUGGCCAGGAAUGGCAGGCACCUGUAGCUACUCCAGAGAUUGAGGUGGGAGGAUUGCUUGAGCCCAGGAAGUUAAGGCUGCAGUGAGCUGUGAUUGUGCCUCUGCACUCCAGCCUGGGUGACAGAGGGAUACCCUGUCUCUCUCUCUCUCUCUCUCUCUCUCUCUCUCUCUCUCUCUCUCUCUCUCUCUCACACACACACACACACACACACACACACACACACAAGGGAGGCGUCAAUGGGAGCAGGUGGUGAGGGAAUGGUUAGGAGCUGGGGAUGAGAAGAUGGAGAGAAAAGAGAGGGAAGUGGUGGCUUAAGUGGAAGAGAGGGGAGGCCAGACAGCUUCACUAAGAAGAGAGAGCCAGGAUGGGUGAGAGUUAAGGCCAGAUGGGGUCUCAGAGACAAGACAGGCCUGGCCCAUGGAGUGAUGCUGUCACCCAGGAGACACGUGACAACGUAUAAGGACAUUUCUGAUUGUCGUGACUGGGGAGUGCUGCUGGUAUCUAUCUGAAUGACUGGACUACCCUUUUAGCUGCAUUCUGCAUCCCAUCAUUCCAGACGGUGUUACAUGCAGCCCUCAGCUACCUCCUACAGACGUGAUCGGCUCCUGUCCUCUCAAGGUUUCUCCCUCCCUCCCUUCCUUCCUCCCUCCAUUCCUCCCUCCCUCGUUUCUUCCUAUCUCACUCUCCUUCUUUCCUCCCUCACUCUCCUUCCUUCCUUCCUGCCUCCCUCCCUCCCUUUCUUCCUUCCUUCCUCACUCUCCUUCUUUCCUCCCUCACUCUCCUUCCUUCCUGCCUCCCUCCCUCCUUUCUUCCUUCCUCACUCUCCUCCUUUCCUCCCUCACUCUCCUUCCUUCCUUCCUUCGUUCCUUCCUUCCUCCUUCCCUCCCUCCCUCCUUCCUUCCUCCUGCAGUCCCCAUCCUUCCUUCCUUUUAUCCUUCUUUCCUUCCUCCCUCCCUCCCUCUCUUUCUUCCUCCCUUUUUUCUUUCUUUUCCUCCUCCUCCUCCUCCUCCUUUUCUCUCUCUCUCUCUCCCCCCACCUUGUUCACUCACUCGCUGUCGAUUCUUGUGAUCUGAAUUGAUAUGAACAAGAGUGUGUAGACGGUCAGUCAUGGGGAAGCAGCAUCUCCUAGUGGCCUUUGAAACAGCCACCAGCAACUGGUGAGUAUAACAAGAGGUUAGGAAAAGACAGGCUUUGAGAUCAAUCAGACCUAAGCUCAGACCCUGGGCCCCCACUUCAGACUCAAGGCACCUAAGGCAAGUGAUGUGUCGUGGGUUUCAGUUUCCCUGUCUGUAAAAUAGGGAUCAGAGCAGAUGACUUCUAAUGUGGGGGUAAAUAUUCAAUAAGAAUAGCAUGAGUGAUGUGAGUGCAGUGCCUGGUCUGUAGGACAUAUCCAGUAAAGGGCAGCUGCUCUCAUCGGUGUUGUUGUUGAGUACACAGCACUGGUGCUGUAGACACAACAGUCCUUGGCUUCAGGGAUUCACAAUCAGGUUCCAGGGAUAGACACAGCUCCAACAUGACAUAUCACGGCAAACAUCAUAACAAAGUCAUGAGCAAGGAGCUUUAAAGUUACUUGUAGGAGGCACAGAGCGAGAAUUGAACCAAUGCCUGCUGUUACCAUUAACUGGGAAUCAUUAUUUUGAAAGCACCCAGGAAUGGGUGGCUUAAUAUGCCUUGGGAAGAAAUAUCCAGGAGGACUGCAUGGAAGAGGUGACAUCUAAGCUGAAUCUUAACAACAAACAGGGGUUUGCCAGGUGAAGAAGUGGAGGAAUGGGGAUCCCAGCAGAGGGAGGGUGUGAAGGAGUUGCGGCUGCACUCUCUGGAUCAGCGGUUCUCAACUGGGGGUGACUUUGAGCCCCAUGGAGACAUGGGUGUUUUCUGGAGACAUUUUUUGGUUGUCAUGACUGAGCAAUGGCUGCUGGCAUUGAGUUGACAGAGACCAGGGAUGCUACUAAACAUGUUAUGAGACACAGAACAGCUCCCCACAGAAAGAAUGACCUGGCCCUAAAUAUCAACAGUCCCAAGGUUGAGAAACCCUGCCUUAGGCACUGGGGAGCCACAGAGGGUUUGUGAGCACCACCCCAGGGCACCAAUCUCGCCCAUUUGGCCUCUUCUUGGAGGUUCUUGUUUCCAAGUCAUUUACUCCUCUAAGAUCUCAGAGUGGCGGGACAUGGUGGUGCUGUGGGGGCCACUAUUCUGUGGAGCUACGGGCAAGUACUGACCCAGAAGUGGGGCAAAACGAGAGUGAUUCCAGGAAGAGAGACCAAGAAACUCUGGAGACCAACGAUGUUUGGAGAAUGCAGCCUCUGCUCACCAAAGGAGCUGGUUCUUCCUUCAUCUCUCACUAUAAAUCUGCCAGGGCUUGACUGAGGACCUGAGCCCACUUAAAGGGAAGUGAACUACCCUUUCUAAAAUGAUCUUUUUAUUGUAAUAACAUACAUACAACCUGAAAUUUACCUAUUUAUUUAUUUAUUUUCUUUUCUUUAUUUUUAUUUUAUUUUAUUUCUUUAUUUUUAUUUUAUUUUAUUUUUGAGAAAGCCCACUGCAUUUGCCUUUUAUUACUGGAUUUCCACAUAAACACUUAAAAGUAUACAAUUCAGUGGCAUCAAGAACAUUUAUGCUGUUGCACUAACACCACCUUUGCCUAGUUCCAGACAAAGGUAAUAAUUUUUUAUUAGCCCAAAAGGAAACACCGUAUCUAUUAGCAGUCACUCCCCAUUCUCCCCUCACCCCAGCCCCUGGAAACCACUGAUAGGUUCCAAAUGCUACAAGCAUUUUCAUUGCAGCAUUGUUCACGAAGGCCAACAGGUGGGGCACAACCCUCAUGUCCAUGAAAAGAUGACGCAUAUUCAUAAAAUGGAAAAUCGUUCAGCCAUAAACAGGAAUAAAGCUCAGACGCAUGCUGUGGUGUUUUAAUACUGUUACAAUUGCAUGCUACAAUGCAAAUGAACCCUAAAACAUUAUGUUCAGUGAAAGAAAUGAGACACAAAAGGCCCCAUCUCGUAUGAUUCCAUUUAUGUAAAAUGUUCAGAACAGACACAUCCGUAGAAACAGAAAGCAGAGUGGUAGUUUACUCCUUUUUUUUUUUUUUUUUUUGAGAAGGAGUCUUGCUCUGUCACCCAGCCUGGAGUGCAGUGGUGUGAUCUUGGCUCACUGCAACCUCCAUCUCCCAGAUCAAGCGAUUCUCCUAACUCAGCCUCUUGAGUAGCUGGGACCACAGGC
rnacentral:lncRNA from 1 species